rnacentral:rRNA from 1 species
AGCGGCGCGAUUCCUAGUGAUUAGAGUUUGAUCAUGGCUCAGAACGUACGCUGGCGGCACGCCUAACACAUGCAAGUCGAACGAAGUAGCAAUACUUAGUGGCAGACGGGUGAGUAACAUGUAGGUAUCUGCCCUUUGGCCUGGAAUAACACGAGGAAACUUGUGCUAAUACCGGAUAAGUCUUUACGGAGAAAGCUUUAUGCACCAUUGGAUGAGCCUGCACUUGAUUAGUUUGUUGGUGGGGUAAUGGCCUACCAAGACUGUGAUCAAUAGCUGAUUUGAGAGGAUGAUCAGCCACAUUGGGACUGAGACACGGCCCAAACUCCUACGGGAGGCAGCAGUGGGGAAUCUUGCACAAUGGAGGAAACUCUGAUGCAGCGAUGCCGCGUGAGUGAAGAAGGCCCUUGGGUUGUAAAGCUCUUUCGUCGGGGAAGAAAAUGACUGUACCCGAAUAAGAAGGUCCGGCUAACUUCGUGCCAGCAGCCGCGGUAAUACGAAGGGACCUAGCGUAGUUCGGAAUUACUGGGCUUAAAGAGUUCGUAGGUGGUUGAAAAAGUUGGUGGUGAAAUCCCAGAGCUUAACUCUGGAACUGCCAUCAAAACUUUUCAGCUAGAGUUUGAUAGAGGAAAGCAGAAUUUCUAGUGUAGAGGUGAAAUUCGUAGAUAUUAGAAAGAAUACCAAUUGCGAAGGCAGCUUUCUGGAUCAUUACUGACACUGAGGAACGAAAGCAUGGGUAGCGAAGAGGAUUAGAUACCCUCGUAGUCCAUGCCGUAAACGAUGUGUGUUAGACGUUGGAAAUUUAUUUUCAGUGUCGCAGCGAAAGCGAUAAACACACCGCCUGGGGAGUACGACCGCAAGGUUAAAACUCAAAUGAAUUGACGGGGACCCGCACAAGUAGUGGAGCAUGUGGUUUAAUUCGAAGAUACGCGCAGAACCUUACCAACACUUGACAUGUUCGUCGCGACUUUAAGAGAUUAAAGUUUUCGGUUCGGCCGGACGAAACACAGGUGCUGCAUGGCUGUCGUCAGCUCGUGUCGUGAGAUGUUGGGUUAAGUCCCGCAGUGAGCGCAACCCUCACUUUUAGUUGCCAUCAUUUAGUUGGGCACUCUGAAAGAACUGCCAGUGAUAAGCUGGAGGAAGGUGGGGAUGACGUCGAGUCCUCAUGGCCCUUACGUGUUGGGCUACACACGUGCUACAAUGGUAUCUACAACAGGAAGCAAAACGGCGACGUUAAGCAAAUCCUUAAAAGAUACCUCAGUUCGGAUUGCACUCUGCAACUCGAGUGCAUGAAGCUGGAAUUACUAGUAAUCGUGGAUCAGCGUGCCACGGUGAAUGCGUUCCCGGGUCUUGUACACACCGCCC